rnacentral:misc_RNA from 1 species
GUCAAUGUUAAAAAUGAUCUUGAUGAGCCUAUGCUUCUUACAUGGAAUGGCAUUCAGCAGAGAAAGCAUACAUGGCAAGAUGGUGUAUCUGGCACAAAUUGUCCCAUUCCAGCUAGCUGGAAUUGGACAUAUGAAUUUCAAGUUAAAGAUCAGAUAGGCAGUUUCUUUUAUUUCCCUUCCUUACGCUUCCAGAGAGCUGCUGGUGGAUAUGGAGGUAUCACUAUUAACAACAGAAAUGUCAUUCCACUGCCGUUUGCGACACCAGAUGGGGACAUCACACUCUUUAUUAGUGACUGGUUUAUAAAGAGUCAUAAGGAACUCAGAAAAGAAAUCGAAACUGGAGUUGGCCUUGGAGCUCCUGAUGGUAUCCUAAUCAAUGGACUAGGUCCUUACCAUUAUGAUAAUGCUGUUGUAUCAGGCGGUAUAAGCUACCAGACAGUUAAUGUAGAAUCAGGAAAAACGUACCGCCUUCGAGUACACAAUGUUGGUGUUUCAACUAGCUUGAAUUUCAGAAUCCAAAGUCAUAACCUUCUUCUUGUGGAGACUGAAGGUUCAUAUACAGUACAACAGAACUACACAAGCUUGGAUAUCCACGUCGGUCAAUCAUAUUCAUUUCUUGUUACAAUGGAUCAGAAUGGCAGCAGUGAUUAUUACAUUGUUGCUAGUCCACGAUUUGUUAAUUCCUCUGAUUCGUCGAAGUCGGUAGGAGUCUCUGUCUUGCAUUACUCAAAUUCGCAAGGACCCGCUUCAGGUCCUCUUCCAGACCCUCCUAUGGAAUCUGACACAUUUUUCUCAAUGAGUCAAGCAAGAUCCAUAAGAUGGAA